rnacentral:rRNA from 1 species
GACGAACGCUGGCGGCGUGCUUAACACAUGCAAGUCGAGCGGUAAGGCCCUUUCGGGGGUACACGAGCGGCGAACGGGUGAGUAACACGUGGGUGACCUGCCCUCAGCUCUGGGAUAAGCCUGGGAAACCGGGUCUAUACUGGAUAUGACUCCAUGACGCAUGUUGUGGGGUGGAAAGCCUUGUGCGGCUGAGGAUGGGCCCGCGGCCUAUCAGCUUGUUGGUGGGGUGANGGCCUACCAAGGCGACGACGGGUAGCCGGCCUGAGAGGCGACCGGCCACACUGGGACUGAGACACGGCCCAGACUCCUACGGGAGGCAGCAGUGGGGAAUCUUGCGCAAUGGGCGAAAGCCUGACGCAGCGACGCCGCGU